GUGGGGAAUUUUGGACAAUGGGGGCAACCCUGAUCCAGCCAUGCCGCGUGCGGGAAGAAGGCCUUCGGGUUGUAAACCGCUUUUGUCAGGGAAGAAAUCCUUUGGGUUAAUACCUCGGAGGGAUGACGGUACCUGAAGAAUAAGCACCGGCUAACUACGUGCCAGCAGCCGCGGUAAUACGUAGGGUGCGAGCGUUAAUCGGAAUUACUGGGCGUAAAGCGUGCGCAGGCGGUUUUGUAAGAUCGAUGUGAAAUCCCCGGGCUCAACCUGGGAACUGCAUUGGUGACUGCAAGGCUGGAGUGCGACAGAGGGGGAUGGAAUUCCGCGUGUAGCAGUGAAAUGCGUAGAUAUGCGGAGGAACACCGAUGGCGAAGGCAAUCCCCUGGGCCUGCACUGACGCUCAUGCACGAAAGCGUGGGGAGCAAACAGGAUUAGAAACCCUUGUAGUCC
rnacentral:rRNA from 1 species